AUCAUCAAGUUUGGUGUUUAUGACGUCGAUAGUCGACGUCAUAAACACCAUCAAAUUUGUUGUUUAUGACGUCGAUAUACGACGUCAUAAACACCAUCCAGUUUGGUGUUCAUGACGUUGAUAUACGACGUUAUAAACACAAUCAAGUUUGGUGUUUAUAACGUCGAUAUUCGACGUCAUAAACACCAUCAAGUUUGGUGUUUAUGACGUCGAUAGUCGACGUCAUAAACACCAUCAAAUUUGGUGUU
rnacentral:miRNA from 1 species